ensembl:lncRNA
GUUUUGUCUACAGGUUGUGCUGCCUCUUGCUCCUGGAUUCCUUCUGUUUCUUGUGUGGGUAUAUCAUUAAAGGCUGUUUUUGGAUUAUUCCUGCACUGUUAGACAUUUCUGUAAUUUCUACAGUUAUUUACUGUAUAUCACCAGUAUAAUACUACAAAUUCGCUUUACAGUCAAUAACUGUAAUGCCCUUUGCAUCAUGGGAAUUUUCUGUGACGUCAAACCCCACAUACAGUGACUUACUGUAUUUUAUAAUUGCUGUAUUCUAUUGUAUUUGCCGCAACAACCUCUUUGGCACCUUUCUUUUGAGGUUGCUUUAUUUUUUUCAGUUCUCACAUUUGGAUUGACAAUAUUUGACUUAACCAUGUGUACUGUACAGCGCCACAACAGCUUGGGACCUAUGCUUUGGACUGACUACAAUGGAUGUUACAUCGCUUGUAAUGAUUGGAAAAUCUGUUUGUCCUUCGUGUCAGAAACAGCACGAGUGCUUGGAGUACAUCUGUAUGUUAUAACUAUACCAGGGCAUCACUUUACUGUCCGCAUACUACACUGUAGAUAUUAUAAUGGGUUCUAUAUUGUCUUGAGUCGCGCUGCGCCAGGAUUUACACUUUCACCUGGCUCCGCUUCGUGAAGACAUGGAAGCAUCGUGGGUUUUGCCCGGGGAUGAACCCGUGAGAGUGGAAGAGUUCUGGAGAACAUCUGCGCUGUGUGCCGAUGCACCUUAUGAGAGAAUAAGACCAGUAGGCAAGGUAAAAAUAUAGAAGUCAUUUCUGUAACUAACAAAGUGGAUGGUGAGCAAAGGUGGUGGCCAAAUUUUGGACAGCACCUGGGUUUUGCAGAUGGCUAUUCUUUCCCCAUUAUGUUUGUUGCCUAAAGAUUCUUUGUAAGGAUAAAUCCAGAUACAACAAUGCACUGCAAAAUGUCCUAAGACAGGAGAAAUGAAGAAGAACUGUUCCAGCAUUGAAAGACUGAGUUUGUGUUAUACAUGCAAUGUUUUAAAUAAUUUGAUAUUUUGUAAUUAUUGUGUCUGUUUUAACUGAAUGCCAGUAGUACGGUAAGGUAAUGUUUGCAACUGGAAGCCAAAUACAGUUUGUAAAUCUUAAUUACAGUAACUCACUGGUAACAGUGUUGCCAGUAAAUUACUGUAAAAACCCUUUGAAAUGUCUAACAGUGUGCGUCGUGCGCUUUUACUUUCACAAAACUGUUAAAUGUACAUUGCUGCAGUCAACCAUUCUCUCUUCCUUUAUAAAUGUUGUGGCAGAUGACUAGUCAUCUGUCACAGCAGUUAUCUCCCGCUUUCACCUGAUCAAUGGUGCCAUUUAGAAAUGGACAUUUUCAAUUACUGCCACUUGGCUACUGAUCUGAGAGAGCUAAACACAGACUACUCCGAAUGAGUCUCUCUAAUUGAUCGAUUGCUUCUUCACUUUCAAUUUAAAAUCUACACUUCAGGCUUGUUGCUUUUAUUUUUACAGCUAGAAGAGCAAAGACCUGGCUGUAAAAUGUGUACGAGCUGGCUGCCUCUAUUUCAUCUGCCAUUUCUAAUUUACAGAAUCCAUUAUGGCAAUAGAUGGAAAUAGAAAAUUUGGUUAAUGGCUGCUGAAGACAGCGUAAAGACCUAAAGUGCUCAUGUUUGUUGUGACUGGCAGAUCGGAAGUGAUAAAUAGUUAUUAGUAAAGACA